rnacentral:tRNA from 1 species
GCCCUCGUAGUCUAGCCUGGAUAGGACACGAGCUUGCGGAGCUUGGAACCGGAGUUCAAGACGGUGACAAUCCGGAAAGUCUCCGCGGGGGCA